UCCGUAGGUGAACUGCGGAAGGAUCAUUAC
rnacentral:rRNA from 1 species